GGCUGGGUAGCAAAGUGGUAAUGCACGGGACUGCAAAUCCUGUAUGCGGCGGUUCGAUUCCGCCCCCGGCCUCCA
rnacentral:tRNA from 1 species